AUUGAACGCUGGCGGCAUGCUUUACACAUGCAAGUCGAGCGGCAGCGCGGGGGCAACCCUGGCGGCGAGCGGCGAACGGGUGAGUAAUGCAUCGGAACGUAUCCUCGAGUGGGGGAUAACCCAGCGAAAGUUGGGCUAAUACCGCAUGAGCUCUGAGGAGGAAAGCGGGGACCCGCGAGGGGCUCGGGGCGGGGGGGGGGGCGAUGUCCGAUUAGCUAGUUGGUGGGGUAAAGGCUUACCAAGGCGACGAUCGGUAGCUGGUCUGGGAGGAUGAUCAGCCACACUGGGACUGAGACACGGCCCAGACUCCUACGGGAGGCAGCAGUGGGGAAUUUUGGACAAUGGGGGCAACCCUGAUCCAGCCAUGCCGCGUGAGUGAAGAAGGCCUUCGGGUUGUAAAGCUCUUUCGGACGGAACGAAAUGGGCGGGACUAAUACUCCUGUCUGAUGACGGUACCGUAAGAAGAAGCACCGGCUAACUACGUG
rnacentral:rRNA from 1 species